rnacentral:rRNA from 3 species
GGGUUGUGAGGUUAAGCGACUAAGCGUACACGGUGGAUGCCCUGGCAGUCAGAGGCGAUGAAGGGCGUACUAAUCUGCGAUAAGCGCCGGUAAGGUGAUAUGAACCGUUAUAACCGGCGAUACCCGAAUGGGGAAACCCAGUGUGAUUCGUCACACUAUCAUUAACUGAAUCCAUAGGUUAAUGAGGCGAACCGGG